UCUCUUCUCUUUCCGGCUGUGGUACCUCUGUCAGGAACCCAGCACUCUGGUUUUCAGAGAGCCAGUUUCCUCUUCACCCUUGGCCUUCAGAGUGUCACAGGUGUUAGGGUGCUGGAGUCUCCUUCUGGAGGUGGUUUCCACGUUCUUCUCCAUCUCGAACAAAGAGUUGAAUGAAACAAGGAGCAUGGUGGCAAAGCUUCACAUUUAUUUGAGCUUCCACUGUCCUAAGAGAGGUAGAAAAUGAAAUAACAGAAACCCAGGAGAUCGCCGAUGAUCUAGG